rnacentral:rRNA from 1 species
GGGCUUCGGCCCGAUGGCGAGUGGCGAACGGGUGAGUAAUGCAUCGGAACGUGCCCAGUCGUGGGGGAUAGCUCGGCGAAAGCCGGAUUAAUACCGCAUACGAUCCACGGAUGAAAGCGGGGGACCCUCGGGCCUCGCGCGACUGGAGCGGCUGAUGUCAGAUUAGGUAGUUGGUGGGGUAAAGGCUCACCAAGCCAACGAUCUGUAGCUGGUCUGAGAGGACGACCAGCCACACUGGGACUGAGACACGGCCCAGACUCCUACGGGAGGCAGCAGUGGGGAAUUUUGGACAAUGGGGGCAACCCUGAUCCAGCAAUACCGCGUGCAGGAAGAAGGCCUUCGGGUUGUAAACUGCUUUUGUACGGAACGAAACGGUAAGGGCUAAUACCUCUUGCUAAUGACGGUACCGUAAGAAUAAGCACCGGCUAACUACGUGCCAGCAGCCGCGGUAAUACGUAGGGUGCAAGCGUUAAUCGGAAUUACUGGGCGUAAAGCGUGCGCAGGCGGUUUUGUAAGACAGGCGUGAAAUCCCCGGGCUCAACCUGGGAAUGGCGCUUGUGACUGCAAGGCUCGAGUACGGCAGAGGGGGAUGGAAUUCCGCGUGUAGCAGUGAAAUGCGUANAUAUGCGGAGGAACACCGAUGGCGAAGGCAGUCCCCUGGGCCUGUACUGACGCUCAUGCACGAA